GAUGAAGAACGUAGCGAAAUGCGAUAAGUAAUGUGAAUUGCAGAAUUCAGUGAAUCAUCGAAUCUUUGAACGCACCUUGCACCCUUUGGCAUUCCGAAGGGUAUGCUCGUUUGAGUGUCAUUGUACUCUCACACUCUCCGAUCCUAUGGAUUCGGGGAGCGGUGGACUUGGGUGUUGCUGCCUUUCCUUGUGGCUCACCUCAAAUGUGUCAGUGCACCUCUUGGUUGGACAUAGUACGGCGUGAUAAGUGUCUUCGCCGGCACCUCGCAAGAGGGUGGCCGAUCGGGAGCUCUGUGCUUUCAAAACGUCUUCGGACAAUUUCUGAUAACUUGACCUCAAAUCGAGUAGGACUACCCGCUGAACUUAAGCAUAUCAAUAAGCGGAGGA
rnacentral:misc_RNA from 1 species